rnacentral:rRNA from 1 species
UACAGAGGGGGCAAGCGUUGUUCGGAAUUAUUGGGCGUAAAGCGCGUGUAGGCGGCUUUGCAAGUCGGGUGUGAAGGCCCUCGGCUCAACCGAGGAAGUGCAUUCGAAACUGCAGAGCUGGAGUCCUGGAGAGGAAGGCGGAAUUCUCGGUGUAGAGGUGAAAUUCGUAGAUAUCGAGAGGAACACCGGUGGCGAAGGCGGCCUUCUGGACAGUGACUGACGCUGAGACGCGAAAGCGUGGGGAGCAAACAGG